rnacentral:rRNA from 1 species
AUUGAACGCUGGCGGCAUGCUUAGCACAUGCAAGUCGAACGGCAGCAUGGAGAGCUUGCUCUCUGAUGGCGAGUGGCGGACGGGUGAGUAACACGUAGGAAUCUGCCUAUUAGUGGGGGAUAACUCGGGGAAACUCGAGCUAAUACCGCAUACGCUCUACGGAGGAAAGCGGGGGAUCUUCGGACCUCGCGCUAAUAGAUGAGCCUGCGUCCGAUUAGCUAGUUGGUAGGGUAAAGGCCUACCAAGGCGACGAUCGGUAGCUGGUCUGAGAGGACGAUCAGCCACACUGGAACUGAGACACGGUCCAGACUCCUACGGGAGGCAGCAGUGGGGAAUAUUGGACAAUGGGCGCAAGCCUGAUCCAGCAAUGCCGCGUGUGUGAAGAAGGCCUGCGGGUUGUAAAGCACUUUAAGCAGGGAAGAAGGCUCUGGAGUUAAUACCUUUGGAGAUUGACGUUACCUGCAGAAUAAGCACCGGCUAACUCCGUGCCAGCCGCCGCCGUAA